GUGGGGAAUAUUGGACAAUGGGCGAAAGCCUGAUCCAGCGACGCCGCGUGGGUGAAGAAGGCCUGCGGGUUGUAAAGCCCUUUCGGUAGGGAAGAAAAGUUUCGACUUAAUACGUCGGGACCUUGACGUAACCUACUAAAGAAGCACCGGCUAACUCUGUGCCAGCAGCCGCGGUAAUACAGAGGGUGCGAGCGUUAAUCGGAAUUACUGGGCGUAAGCGCGCGUAGGCGGCUUUGCAAGUCGGAGGUGAUAUCCCCGGGCUUAACCUGGGAACUGCAUUCGGGACUGCGUUGCUAGAGUAUGGGAGAGAGAAGUGGAAUUUCAGGUGUAGCGGUGAAAUGCGUAGAUAUCUGAGGGAACAUCAGUGGCGAAAGCGACUUCCUGGACCAAUACUGACGCUCAUGUGCGAAAGCGUGGGGAGCAAACAGGAUUAGAAACCCUAGUAGUCC
rnacentral:rRNA from 1 species